rnacentral:rRNA from 1 species
AUUGAACGCUGGCGGCAGGCCUAACACAUGCAAGUCGAGCGGAUGAAGGGAGCUUGCUCCUGGAUUCAGCGGCGGACGGGUGAGUAAUGCCUAGGAAUCUGCCUGGUAGUGGGGGAUAACGUCCGGAAACGGGCGCUAAUACCGCAUACGUCCUGAUGGAGAAAGUGGGGGAUCUUCGGACCUCACGCUAUCAGAUGAGCCUAGGUCGGAUUAGCUAGUUGGUGGGGUAAAGGCCUACCAAGGCGACGAUCCGUAACUGGUCUGAGAGGAUGAUCAGUCACACUGGAACUGAGACACGGUCCAGACUCCUACGUGAGGCAGCAGUGGGGAAUAUUGGACAAUGGGCGAAAGCCUGAUCCAGCCAUGCCGCGUGUGUGAAGAAGGUCUUCGGAUUGUAAAGCACUUUAAGUUGGGAGGAAGGGCAGUAAGUUAAUACCUUGCUGUUUUGACGUUACCAACAGAAUAAGCACCGGCUAACUUCGUG